GCACCUAUGGUGUAGUAGGUUAUCACACUCGCUUAGUAGUGCUCUGUUGAGUAGCGAGAGGUCUGCGGUUCGAAUCCGUGUGGGUGCA
rnacentral:tRNA from 1 species